CUCGAGGCCAGAUCUUUCCGGUUGAUCCCGCCGGACCUGACUGCUAUCGGAUUGAUACUAAGCCAUGCGAGUCUUUGUAGCAAUACAAGGCAGACGGCUCAGUAACACGUAGUCAAUCUACCCUAUGGACGGGGAUAACCUCGGGAAACUGAGAAUAAUACCCGAUAGAUCAUUAUGCCUGGAAUGGUUUAUGGUCGAAAUGAUUUAUCGCCGUAGGAUGGGACUGCGGUCUAUCAGCUUGUGGUGAGGUAAUGGCCCACCAAGGCUAUAACAGAUACGGGCUCUGAGAGGAGAAGCCCGGAGAUGGGUACUGAGACACGGACCCAGGCCCUAUGGGGCGCAGCAGGCGAGAAAACUUUGCAAUGUGCGAAAGCACGACAAGGUUAAUCCGAGUGUUUUCUGCUAAAGAAAUCUUUUGUCAGUCCUAAAAACACUGAUGAAUAAGGGGUGGGCAAGUUCUGGUGUCAGCCGCCGCGGUAAAACCAGCACCUCAAGUGGUCAGAAGGAUUAUUGGGCCUAAAGCAUCCGUAGCCGGCCGUGUAAGUUUUCGGUUAAA
rnacentral:rRNA from 1 species